GACAAUUAAAAAGAAUUAAAUUGGCAUUCGUUUACACCUUCUUAAAUAAUUCAAUGUGGCCCAUUUAACGCAUCUUUCACAUUAUUGCUGUGUUUGGUUCCAGCCCGUGUUUUAUUCUUUGCGACUCACCAGAAGUAAACCGCUGAAACGCAUAAAUCAUUUUCAGCAUCGUUUUUAUUUCGGGGGACAAGCACAAAACUGGAAAGCUUGAUGCGCCGACGGAACCAGUUUUAUUUCAAUGGCUUUUCGGUCUGGCAAAACCAGACCAGCGGCUCCCUGUACUGGCAUAGUUGCCGCGCGUACGUCGGGGUGUCGGUAACCGUAACUCGAUUUAUUGACGCGCACGCAUUACAAAACUCCAAACUCGCAUGUUUCAUCCGAUGGAUGACAUUUAAAAGAUUCAAAAAAAUAAUCUUAACCGGUCGGAUGAUUAUAGUAAUACAACGCCUCCCAUUUUUGUGCUGAACAGAGGAUGGGCAAAGUGGUGUGGGUAGAGUGGGGUCGAAAAUAAUCACAUGUUGACUUUGGCAUGGAACGAACUUCUCGGAACGCUUCGGGCGUGUUGGAAUCGGGGGUUUCCCUGUCCCUGACCGGUGGUAGCUCACUGCCUGUCUGGCCCACUCGAUGGGACCGCCUAAAGACGGUAACGGGCUGUCUGCGUAAACUGCUCGCGCACGUGACAAACUGACGGUGCGCUCUGACGUUGGUCGAAACCAUGUACACUAGAGGCAGAAUGCAUCCGAGACGAGCGAAUCCGUUGGACAUGCACUGCACUGUUGGUUGCAUUGUGUCUGCAGUUGCCGUUGCAUAAUAGUCCACUCCGUGACAGCCAUCUACUGUCAUGUCGCCACAUCCCCCCAUCGUAUGCGUCAUUGCGCAGCUUAAUGCGCGAGCUUCUGAAGUGCAUCCGAUAAUAGAGUAACGAUGUGCUAGUUCACAGUUUACAAUAAAGCGACGCUUAAUCGGCUGGCUUAUGCUUUUGCUAUA